ACUUAGGCCAAAAAAAAAUAUGUGUGUUUCCGGUUUCCCGACCCUACCUAGCUUUUGGACGUCGAAAUCCCGACCCUAAACUUUUUUUUGGAUCAUGCUUGUAAGUGUUUCCACUUAGAGGAAAAAGUUUGUCAAAAAUUGAAAUUUGAGGCAAUAUUAGGGAAAUUUAUCUUUGGAUGUGAAAGCACUGACUAAACAAAAUGGCGUCCG